rnacentral:rRNA from 1 species
AGAGUUUGAUCCUGGCUCAGAAACGAACGCUGGCGGCGCGCUUAACACAUGCAAGUCGAACGCGAAAAGGGACUUCGGUCCCGAGUAGAGUGGCGCACGGGUGAGUAACGCGUAAGUAAUCUACCCCUGUAUCUGGAAUAACCCACCGAAAGGUGAGCUAAUACCGGAUACGUUUAUCUUGAUGCGAAUGAUGAUAAAGAAAGGUGGCCUCUUCAUGAAAGCUACUGUACAGGGACGAGCUUGCGUACCAUUAGCUAGUUGGUAGGGUAAUGGCCUACCAAGGCGACGAUGGUUAGCGGGUCUGAGAGGAUGAUCCGCCACACUGGAACUGGAACACGGACCAGACUCCUACGGGAGGCAGCAGUGGGGAAUUUUGCGCAAUGGGCGAAAGCCUGGCGCAGCAACGCCGCGUGAGGGAUGACGGUUUUUCGGAUUGUAAACCUCUUUUCAGUAGGGGACGAAGCCGCAAGGUGACGGUACCUACAGAAGAAAGCCCCGGCUAACUACGUGCCAGCCGCCGCGGUAAUA